GACUCAAAUUAAUAAACCCUUCUCUCUUUCCCAAUCACGUUUUCACUCCCCCCUCUCUCUCUCUCUAACCCUAAUAAUACGUCGUCGAUAUCACUAUCAUUGCAGGUCGUCACCGUCGCCGCCAUCCCUAAUCAGUACUUUCGUCACCGUCGCCACCGUCCCUAAUCAGUACCGCCGUCGCCAUCGCCAUCGCGUCCACAGCCAAUCAUUUGAGGAUUAUGUGCCCACUGUAUAGCCACUGUCAAUCUAGGGUUGUGGGAUACUGCUGAGUGAUAUUAAAAGGAACAACAAACAUAGAUGGCAGGCGAAAAGAGGAGUAAGAAAACAAAGAAAGCUAAGGAGACGGGGGUUCCCUGGAGACCACCAGAAAACCUUGCGAUUAGAGAUAGAAGCCCGUCGCCACGUCUCCCACCACGCGGCUCUCCAUUGCCUCAUGAUCCCCUCAUGAAUGGCAUUUCAUAUAGUCUUCCACCUCCAUAUGAUUUGUGGAUUGUGCCCAAACUUUUUAUGUUGAGGGAGAAAUAUCAUUACCAUGUGAAUUCCAGUUCUUUUACGUGCUUUUAUGCCCAGAGUGUAAGCACUUGGUACGAAUCAAGCGGAAGAAGGAGGUCCAAUGCAUUAACUGCAAGCUCCACAGAAUGCUAAUGCCAAGAUGCGAAUUUGAAGUUGAAAUCACAGAUGGCAGCGGAACAAUAGUAGCAAUAGUGUCAGACAAAUUGGCUGAAAGAAUGCUCUCAAUGACAGCAGAACAAAUAGAUGAAACUACCGUUAUCAAGGUGCACAUACAUACAGCACUAACAUUAAUUCAUCUUAUGGAAUUUUAUUGAAAAUCUUUAAUUAAUGAUUCAACAACGUUCGAACUUCUUUGCACAAAAACAAUUGUUACCUGUUGAGCAUAUCAGGGAAGAACUGUUGCACAAAUCGUUCAAAAUUCACCUACAGAAGUCAGUACUCUGGACACCGGAUAGAACCCCCGGCUCAUUAGUCGUUUUAUCUUACAGCCAAAAACAAACCAUGUUCGGUUCACUGCAAUGCUCAACACCGAUAACCAUUAGCGAGGGAACUAAAAGAAAGAUAGAUUAUAUCACUCCUACUGAAGAAGAUCCCACUUCGUCAACACAAGAUGUGUCAUUGAGCAAAAAAUCAAAAAAACACUGAAGACCAGGAAGCAGAUUUAGAGCAGCAACUAUAACUACUUUUUGGUAUCCUACAGCAGCUAUAACACUUAUGUUCGAAACAAAUUUUGAUGCAGUUGUUCCCUGCAGUACAAUACUUCAAAUUUUUGUGUAAAUAAGUGUAUGUACUGUGCGUUUGUAUAUGCUUGUAAAUGUGGGAAAUACUUGUUUUAGCUGCUGUAGUUCGAAACAAAUUUUGAUGCAGUUGUUCGAUGCAGUACAAUACUCCAAAUUUUGUGUAAAUAAGUGUGUGUACUGUGCGUUCA